AUUAACAUACACACAUCCAUGGAGUGACUACAACCAUAGAAUGUAAGUGAGCAUAGAUCAAGAAAUUGACUUCAUUUCACUUCAAAUUUUGAGUUACAGCAGAAUGAGUUCAAAUAGUAUACCUAGAAUUUGUGAUUGAAAUGAAAUAGAAGAAAGUCAGCUGAAUCAAUGCACGAGCAGCACUAGCAGUAAGCAAUUUUCAGCAGUACAGAUCAAGAAAUAGCCUAGAGAACGAAUAUAGAAAUCCCAGGAAGGUUCAGAACUCAAAUGAAACUAGCGGAUUAAACCAAAACACUUGAAAUGCACUCAGUUAUACUAGAAAGGCAUCAUCACACUUUCACGGAUCCAAAUCUCAAUCAAACACAAUCUAAUUAGGCUCAUAAACUGCUCCAAAUCACCCAGCAACCAUUCUGAACAUCAACAAUCAAAGAGUAAACUAGAGGAUGUGAAUUAAUAACUAGAACAUCAACAUCAGCCUACAGUUUCCAAUGAAAGAAUGAUAUUUUUUUAUUUUGAGUUUUUGUUUUUUUUUUUUUUGAAAUCUGAAUUUCUACUUCUGAUCUGAGGCAAAGGUGAUGCCCUUUUAUAGGCACCAAGGGAGCCUCAUCAUAUUUUAGU
rnacentral:lncRNA from 1 species